CUCUAGGGAGACUGCCGGUGACAAACCGGAGGAAGGUGGGGACGACGUCAAGUCAUCAUGGCCCUUACGGCCGGGGCUACACACGUGCUACAAUGGUGCAUACAGACGGUUGCGAAUCCGCGAGGUGGAGCUAAUCUGAGAAAGUGCAUCGUAGUCCGGAUUGGAGUCUGCAACUCGACUCCAUGAAGUCGGAAUCGCUAGUAAUCGUGAAUCAGAAUGUCACGGUGAAUACGUUCCCGGGCCUUGUACACACCGCCCGU
rnacentral:rRNA from 1 species